UUGAUGUGGAUGAAUGUUGGAUGAUCCUUUAGCCCGCACUAUGAUAUGAUAUGGUAUGAGAUAGUGAUGAUACGGUAUGAAAGACCAGUGAGGCCCAUUCUGCGCCCCUGGCACUAUGUAAGAGAAAGACUAGUGAGGCCCAUUCUACGCCCCUGGCAUAUUGGGAUGUUAUGUUAUGUUAUGUUAAUGUAAGAGGAAGACCAGUGAGGCCCAUUCUAUGCCCCUGGCACUAUUGGAAUGUGUAGUGGGCUAUCGGUGACAAGUUCAUCCUUGAUGUGUCCUGUCUGUGAUGUGAUGCAUUCCAUGAUAACAUAUGUUUUAAAUGUUUUUUUUUUAUUAUUUUGCUCACUGGGC
rnacentral:lncRNA from 1 species